CAAACACCGGCAGGGCUCUCGAGGAGGGGGCAGCCAGCGUGUGCGUGCUGUGAAGGGGACUUCAUGGUGGAGCUGCUAAUUAAAUAAGAAAGGCUCGUCUCCAUGCUUGUUAGGUUAACUCAGCAGGGAUAUUGCAAAAGCAAAUUCCUCCCAGCAAGUGUAAUUAGGGGGCCGGAAUUCCUCUGGUUCCUUGUCCUCCCUGCGAAUGCUGCUAAAGCCAUCAGGGUGGAAAAUUCACAUUCAACAAAACAGGCUCCCUCUCCGGGCUGGGUCGUAGGGCUGCUUCCCCCAGGACAGCUCGAGUUGAAGAUGGAAAGAGGACUCUGAGGGGUCUGGACAGGGCAGCAGCAGCUCCCAGCCCACAGGAUUUGGGAGGUGUCCUGGAUGGUGCUGCUGACCUGCUUCAUCUUCCUUGCCAAGGGGGGCACAGCUCCAGCCCAGCACAGCAGGAAUUGCCUGAAAUGCAAACCCAGGGCAUGUGUUGCCGUGCUUGUGCCAGUGUUGCCUGUGCAGGCAAAGGAUGAUGCUCAUGGGGGACAAGGCAUGAAGAUGUGUCCUGCCUGGCACCAGGGGACACCAGGACUGCAGCUGGGGUUUCCCUCCAGCUCUGUGGAAAUAUGCUUGAGGCUGUCCCAUGCAAAGUGCCUCCUGCUAGGGCUGGUCCCUGGCUCUUGGCAGCCCUGGCUAUGGCACCUCCCUGCCUGGCAUCUGCCACCACCCUUCUCCAUGACAAAGCCUUUGAUGAAGGAAUUUCAUCCUCCCUUUCCCACACAGCCUGGUCCAUAUUUUGUGUGUCUUUAUCUUGUGUAGGGUUUUACCUUUUUUUUACCCUGUUUCCCUGCUGAACCCAGACAUCUGCCAGUGUGAGUUCAACACCUCUCUGUUCCAUGUUGUUGGUGUGAAUGACCAGAAUCAAGAAAUUUG
rnacentral:lncRNA from 12 species